rnacentral:lncRNA from 1 species
CCACAAUAACAACAGAUAUGUGGAGAGCUUUAAUAAACGUAUGAAAUAUGAAUGUGUUUUACUUUUUAUAUACUUGGUCCUAUUAUAAAGCUGAAUUUAUUGCAAAUCCAUUUGAUUGAUUUUAAUAAUCCAUUUAUUUUGAUUUUGAAUUCCGUAUGUUUGAUUUCGAAAUCUAUAUGUUUGAUUUAAGAAUCAACGGAUUUCUUAAAUCCUAGAAGAAUUCUCAAAUCCAUUAAAAUCAUAGAACCAAUAACCCCUACU